GGUCAGAAAGCAGGAACUGAA
rnacentral:piRNA from 1 species